GGAGGCACUGGGCAGGACAAGGAAUAGCGCGGGGAGUAGCGGAUCCUGAGUCCUAGCAAAGUAGCCUUUGGUACUAGACCAGAAGGUAGCCCGCAGACACAGCGGUGACAUCAUAGGCAAGUAGUCCUAUCAGGGAAAUGGGAGGUUCAGCACCUGAGACUGCUCACCCCAGCAGACCCCAGCCCCGAGCGGGGAGGCUAUCAGCUUCCCAGGGCUGCCAUGGGCUCCAGGCUUCUCUGCUGUGUGGCCCUUUGUCUCCUGGGAGCCGGCCCCGUGGAGUCUGAGGUCAUCCAAACUCCAAGACACAUGAUCAAAGCAAGAGGACAGACAGUGACCCUGAGAUGUUCCCUUAUCUCUGGACACCUAUCUGUGUACUGGUACCAACAGGCCCUGGGCCAGGGCCCCCGGUUUCUCAUUCAGUAUUACAAUAGGGAAGAGGGAGACAAAGGAGACAUCCCGGCAAGAUUCUCAGUGCAGCAGUUCAGUGACGCCAGCUCCCAGCUGGAGAUGAACUCCCUGGAGCCAGGAGACUCAGCCCUGUAUCUCUGUGCCAGCAGCUUGGCACAGCCCUGCACGAUCGGCAGGCUUCUGUACAAAAACCUUCCACCCCUCCAGCUCAGGAAGUGUGGCGAGGGUGGCGGUGCCAACCACAGUGGCCCGGGCCCAGGUAAAGCAGACGGGCCUCUCCCAGAUGCUCCUCCUGCAGCCUUCGUGUGUGGCAUGUCCUAA